rnacentral:rRNA from 1 species
UACAGAGGUCCCAAGCGUUGUUCGGAUUCACUGGGCGUAAAGGGUGCGCAGGUGGUGGGAUAAGUUCGAUGUGAAAGCUCCGAGCUCAACUCGGAAAUGGCAUUGAAUACUGUUCCGCUCGAGGGUCGGAAGGGAGACUGGAAUUCUCGGUGUAGCAGUGAAAUGCGUAGAUAUCGAGAGGAACACCGGUGGCGAAGGCGAGUCUCUGGACGAUUCCUGACGCUGAGGCACAAAAGCUAGGGGAGCAAACAGG